rnacentral:lncRNA from 1 species
AAAAACAGAGUUUCUACAUGAAUUAUUUGAAGCCUUUGCUUUUUAAAAGUUAGGCAAGCACCGACUGUCCCUAGAGCAAGUGGCAAAGGGAUUUGUGAUUAGUACCCGAGACCCAAGUUCGAAUCCUAGUUGAUUCACAUUUCUAGCUAAGUUUAUUUCUAAAUGAAAUAAACGAAGUGGAUAGCGUGCUACCUAUCUCUCAAAAAGAGUUAGGCAAGCAGAUACGAGAGUUAAGUUGUGACAUCCAAAUAAUUCUACAUGAGAUGAGAAUGAGAUUGUGAUUGAGUAUAUAAAAGACCAUGAGCUGAAGUACUUUGGAUCGCUUGUUCGGGUCCAACAAGUUAAUAUUGCUAGCCGGCCGGAUCGUCUCAAUCACCUAAUAAUUUCUCAGAUGGAAAUGCCAGCGAGACGAAUCUUACAU